AGAUUUUCGUUUUCUCUCGGUAAGCGUUGACGACUAUUUGUUUCAGAUGCGCCUGUGAAAAAACGUACUUUUUUAUGACUCAAUAACAUCAAUACUUAUUCGUAUAUCGUGAUCAUUGCUGUAAUAUUUUUUGUUUUGAAGUUUUCCUUGCGUCAGCGUUCUUGAGGCCGUACCCGAAUCUAGAUUGCAAAAAAUCAUUUCUAUUUUGUCAAUUUUCUUUUAGUUUACAGUUUUGAUGUGUAUCUCCGAAGGACAGGUAGGUCUUUUUCACAAAAUAAUACGAAACGCUACACGAAAUUGGACUUCAAUUUCUGAACGAUUGGACAUUUAAAAAAAUUCAUGUUUAAAUUUUUCAGACUUUAUCGGCUUCGGAAUACGGUCUCAAAACUUGACUAUUUAUAUAUGGUUUCGUUCAAAUGUAACGAAACUUAACUCGAAUAUCGACCACUGUGUAUAAGAGAAGGAAAGACGUCACGUAAACGAAUCGCAUGUUGUCGAUGAUUAUUUGCACGAGUGGGUGGAAAUUUGAAAAUAUCAAAUAUCCGAAAAACACGACUAAAAUUCUCGCGUCGACUUUUGAUAAUCUAAUGGGCGAAUUAAACGCGAUUAUUGAUAAUUGAUGGCGGGAGGAAAGCCAUUAUCGUGUCAACGCGUGGGUCAUAAACUAUUCGGCGACGUCGAUUUUCGCUUCACCCGGCAUUCUCGCCACCGCCAAUACACCGGAGAACAUCGUGUGAAAAGAGGUGGAAUGGGAGUCGAGUGAGAGGACGAAUACUAUUCGAAAAUUUGGAGUAGGAAGCGGAGAAGUUGACGAAUAGGAACGUACCAAAUUUACAUGAGAGAACGCAACGUAAUGCUUUCCGGACUGUCGACUUUUGAUAAUCUAAUUGGCGAAUUAAACGCGAUUAUUGAUAAUUGAUGGCGGGAGGAAAGCCAUUAUCGUGUCAACGCGUGGAUCAUAAACUAUUCGGCGACGUCGAUUUUCGCUUCACCCGGCAUUCUCGCCACCGCCAAUACACCGGAGAACAUCGUGUGAAAAGAGGUGGAAUGGGAAUCGAGUGAGAGGACGAAUACUAUUCGAAAAUUUGGAGUAGGAAGCGGAGAAGUUGACGAAUAGGAACGUACCAAAUUUACAUGAGUGAACGCAACGUAAUGCUUUCCGGACUUUUACAGUGUUUAUUUGUAACGACACUCUUAUGUGCACACUCGGAUCACUCGGCCAGUAAGGAAAACUUUGGAGGCCUUAUUCACAGAAUAACAUGAAACGAUACACGGAAUUGGACUUCAAUUUUUGGACGAUUGGACAUUCGUUUAAAAUUUCACGGCUUUAUCGGCUCCAGAAUGCGGUCUCAAGAGCGAGGCUGCAGGAGAACUUAUACAAGACGUUUUGUAGCAUUGGAUUGAUGAAUGAGAGCAUCGAAUGUCAAAAUUUCUUUGCGAGGAAGUUAACUAAAAAAGUUAAAUUAACAAAGCGGAUUGUACGACCAGGAUGUUGGUCGAAACGACUACUUUUUUCGAUCGUUUCCUGAUCGUACAAUCCGCUAGGGUACGUAAAGUAUAAACUAUAAGCUACUACUGUAGGCGCUUUGGCCGUUAAGUAGCUUUAGGCAACGAUUGAACAGCCUUUUAAAAAUUAGCACAUAAAUUUCGAGGUUGAUUAUUAUUUAUCUACGGUUUCGUUCCAAUGUACCGAAACUUAACUCGA
rnacentral:lncRNA from 1 species